AGCGAACGCUGGCGGCAGGCUUAACACAUGCAAGUCGAGCGGGCACUUUCGGGUGUCAGCGGCGGACGGGUGAGUAACGCGUGGGAACGUGCCCUCUGGUUCGGAAUAACUCAGGGAAACUUGAGCUAAUACCGGAUACGCCCUUUUGGGGAAAGGCUUGCUGCCGGAGGAUCGGCCCGCGUCUGAUUAGCUAGUUGGUGAGGUAACGGCUCACCAAGGCGACGAUCAGUAGCUGGUCUGAGAGGAUGAUCAGCCACACUGGGACUGAGACACGGCCCAGACUCCUACGGGAGGCAGCAGUGGGGAAUAUUGGACAAUGGGCGCAAGCCUGAUCCAGCCAUGCCGCGUGAGUGAUGAAGGUCUUAGGGUUGUAAAGCUCUUUUAUCCGGGACGAUAAUGACGGUACCGGAGGAAUAAGCCCCGGCUAACUUCGUG
rnacentral:rRNA from 1 species